GCCAGUGUGGGGUAGUGGUUUGAUCAUUGGAUUAUAACUCUGGUGACUAAGGUUCAAUUUCUUGCUCACUGGUU